GAUGAAGAACGUAGCGAAAUGCGAUACGUAAUGUGAAUUGCAGAAUUCAGUGAAUCAUCGAAUCUUUGAACGCACAUUGCGCCCGCCAGCACUCUGGCGGGCAUCCCUGUUCGAGCGUCAUUUCAACCAUCAAGCCCCAGGCUUGCGUUGGAGCCCUGCGGCUGCCGCAGCCUCCUAAAAGCAGUGGCGGGCUCGCUAUCACACCGAGUGCAGUAGAUUACUCUUCGCUCAGGGCGUGCAGCGGGUUCCGGCCGUGAAACCCCCUACUUUUAAAGGUUGACCUCGGAUCAGGUAGGAAUACCCGCUGAACUUAAGCAUAUCAAUAAGCGGAGGA
rnacentral:misc_RNA from 1 species